UACAGAGGUCUCAAGCGUUGUUCGGAUUCAUUGGGCGUAAAGGGUGCGUAGGCGGCGCGGUAAGUCGGGUGUGAAAUCUCGGGGCUUAACUCCGAAACUGCAUUCGAUACUGCCGUGCUUGAGGACUGGGAGAGGAGACUGGAAUUUACGGUGUAGCAGUGAAAUGCGUAGAGAUCGUAAGGAAAGACCAGUGGCGAAAGGCGGGGUCUCUGGACAGUUCCUGACACUGAGGCACGAAGGCCCAGGGGAGCAAACGGG
rnacentral:rRNA from 1 species